GCCGUCGUAGCUCAAUGGAUAGAGCAAACCCGUCCUAAGGGUGAGGUUGGGGGUUCGACUCCCUUCGACGGCG
rnacentral:tRNA from 1 species